GAUGAACGCUGGCGGCGUGCCUAAUACAUGCAAGUCGAGCGAACAGACGAGGAGCUUGCCCCUCUGACGUUAGCGGCGGACGGGUGAGUAACACGUGGAUAACCUACCUAUAAGACUGGGAUAACUUCGGGAAACCGGAGCUAAUACCGGAUAAUAUAUUGAACCGCAUGGUUCAAUAGUGAAAGACGGUUUUGCUGUCACUUAUAGAUGGAUCCGCCCCGCGUUAGCUAGUUGGUAGGGUAACGGCUUACCAAGGCGACGAUGCGUAGCCGACCUGAGAGGGUGAUCGGCCACACUGGAACUGAGACACGGUCCAGACUCCUACGGGAGGCAGCAGUAGGGAAUCUUCCGCAAUGGGCGAAAGCCUGACGGAGCAACGCCGCGUGAGUGAUGAAGGUCUUCGGAUCGUAAAACUCUGUUAUUAGGGAAGAACAAAUGUGUAAGUAACUAUGCACGUCUUGACGGUACCUAAUCAGAAAGCCACGGCUAACUACGUG
rnacentral:rRNA from 1 species